rnacentral:tRNA from 1 species
GUAGAUAUAGUUUAAUAAAAACAUUAGAUUGUGAAUCUAAAAACAGAAGCCAACAAUUCUUAUCUACC